rnacentral:rRNA from 1 species
ACUCCUACGGGAGGCAGCAGUGGGGAAUAUUGGACAAUGGGCGCAAGCCUGAUCCAGCCAUGCCGCGUGUGUGAAGAAGGCCCUCGGGUUGUAAAGCACUUUCAGUGAGGAAGAAAGCUUGUCGGUUAAUACCCGGCAAGGACGACAUCACUCACAGAAGAAGCACCGGCUAACUCCGUGCCAGCAGCCGCGGUAAUACGGAGGGUGCGAGCGUUAAUCGGAAUUACUGGGCGUAAAGCGUGCGUAGGCGGCUUGGUAAGCCGGUUGUGAAAGCCCCGGGCUCAACCUGGGAACGGCAUCCGGAACUGUCAGGCUAGAGUGCAGGAGAGGAAGGUAGAAUUCCCGGUGUAGCGGUGAAAUGCGUAGAGAUCGGGAGGAAUACCAGUGGCGAAGGCGGCCUUCUGGACUGACACUGACGCUGAGGUACGAAAGCGUGGGUAGCAAACAGGAUCAGAUACCCUGGUAGCGAGUAG